rnacentral:rRNA from 1 species
UGCGUAGGCGGCGUUUUAAGUCAGUGGUGAAAACCUGCAGCUCAACUGUAGAACUGCCAUUGAAACUGAAGUGCUUGAGUUAUCUUGAAGUAGGCGGAAUGUGUAGUGUAGCGGUGAAAUGCUUAGAUAUUACACAGAACACCGAUUGCGAAGGCAGCUUACUAAGGGUAAACUGACGCUGAUGCACGAAAGCGUGGGGAUCGAACAGGAUUAGAUACCCUGGUAGUCCACGCCGUAAACGAUGAUGACUCGCUGUUGGCGAUACACAGUCAGCGGCUUAGCGAAAGCGUUAAGUCAUCCACCUGGGGAGUACGCUCGCAAGAGUGAA